CAAUCCUGAAAAGGGAAAUGGAUGGAGAAGAAGUCAUGUGUGCAAAAAGUAGUGGUCACUGACAUUGAACAACAUCUUCCAUUAAUGCAAAGGAACAUCUCUCAUAGGAGGACAGCCUGAGGAUGCCGAGGCUCUUUAGCUUGGGAAAGAGGAGACUGAGAGGUGACCUCAUUCAUGUUUAUAAAGAUGUAAAGGGUGAGUGCUAGAAUGGAGCCAGGCUCUGUUCCAUGAUGACCAAUGGCAGGACAAGGGGCAAAGGGUGGAAGCUGAGGAAUAGGAAGUUCCACAGAAACAUGAGGAAGAAUUUUGUCACUGUGAGGGUGACAGAACACUGGAACAGGCUGCCCAGUGGGUUGUGGAGUCUCCCUCUCUGGAGAUACUCAAGACCUGCCUGGAUGCAUUCCUGUAUGAUCUGGUAUGGGUGCUCCUGCUCUGCAGGGGAGUUGGACUGCACGAGGUCCCUUCCAGCCCCUGACAUUCUGUGAUUCUGUCAUCUUGGGAUAGCACUGAGAGGGGAAAUGUGUCAAUGGUAUGCACAUCAAUAAAUGUGAUGGCAACAUUUGUCCUUUCAAGCUCCAACAACAGGUAUUUGUGCUGCUGACAUCCAGGCUCAGGCACUAGAGUCACUGGAGAAGAAACACCAGAACUAUUCCUACUUCUAGUUCCUGAAAACCCACAACAGCCACACUAAGAGAACACAGGCUUGGAAGACUGAUCUGUAGCUUAACAGACUAAACUGUUUCCACUUGUGCAGAUUCAUGGAUUCUGCAAUAAAUAAGAGCAACAUCCUUCGAGGGGCCUGCAGCUUCCUCACCAACACUGACACCGUAUCAGUGAAGUGGUAUUUAACAACCAGCUCUGCAUGCUCUGAUCAAGGACAGAGUGGCCUGCAGGCAUGGAGGUCUUGUGUGAUGCCAUGGUCUGGAAACUCCCACUCUAAUAUUCAUCCUUCUGCUUUCCUUCCCACAUUUUAACUCUCAUCUGGUAUGCCACAGUGAAAGUAAGCUGUUCUGGAACUGCCCUGCUCAUCCUACCUGGCCUCCAAACCAUCUCCCUGCCUGCAGUGCAUCAAGGCUUUGUGUUGCACAAUGCUUGAUUGGGCCAGGACUGUGCCAUUAAAGCAAACACCAAAGCAAAACCAGUCCCAACAUUCCC